GCAAAAUGUUUCAGGGACGCGAAAAAUGUACAGUGCUUACGCAUGUUUGUCUGUUUUUCAGCGGAAUGUUUCAAGGACCGGUCUGUACUGUACACACAUGGUCUAUAUACGCAUGGUGUGAAAAUGAAACGGAAUGUUUCAAGGACUGG